GAUGAACGCUGGCGGCGUGCUUAACACAUGCAAGUCGAACGGACACAUCUUUCGGGGUGUGUUAGUGGCAGACGGGUGCGUAACACGUAGGUGACCUGCCCUAGAGUGGGGAAUAACCAUCCUAAAGGAUGGCUAAUACCGCAUAUGUUCGGUACUUCAUUGUACUGAGUAAAGUCGUAAGACGCUUUGGGAUGGGCCUGCGGCGGAUUAGGUAGUUGGUGGGGUAAUGGCCUACCAAGCCGAUGAUCCGUAGGGGGCGUGAGAGCGUGGCCCCCCACACUGGCACUGAGAUACGGGCCAGACUCCUACGGGAGGCUG
rnacentral:rRNA from 1 species